rnacentral:rRNA from 1 species
GGUCGCAAGACUGACCCAGCCAUGCCGCGUGCAGGAAGACGGCCCUCUGGGUUGUAAACUGCUUUUAUCUGGGAAGAAAAAGUCCAUGCGUGGAAAAUUGCCGGUACCAGANGAAUAAGCACCGGCUAACUCCGUGCCAGCAGCCGCGGUAAUACGGAGGGNGCAAGCGUUNUCCGGAUUUAUUGGGUUNAAAGGGUGCGUAGGCGGCUGAAUAAGUCAGCGGNGAAAGACUUCGGCUUAACCGGAGCAGUGCCGUUGAUACUGUUUAGCUUGAGUGUUGGAGGGGUACAUGGAAUUGAUGGUGUAGCGGUGAAAUGCAUAGAUACCAUCAGGAACACCGAUAGCGAAGGCAUUGUACUGGCCAACAACUGACGCUGAGGCANGAAAGUGUGGGGAUCGAACAGGAUUAGAUNCCCUGGUAGUCCACNCCGUAAACGAUGAUUACUCGCUGUUAUGGUGUAUGCUGUAGCGGCC